ensembl:lncRNA
UGUUGAUAUGGUCUUAUACAGUAUAUUGCCUUGCUAAUAACUUCAGUGAUUGAUCUUGGAGGUUAAGAGCAUUGUCUAAAGCCUUGAAUAUACUCGGGAGAAAACGCGGACAAGGACCGCUGCGAACAUGGACUACUUCUGUUCAUACUCCCUUCUGCAGUCAGCAUGGCGGACACGUUCCACAGAAGCACAGUAGAUCAGUUGGUGCCCUGGUAGCGCUAGUUGCCGUGUGGACCUGGCGCGGUCACAAAAAAGGAGAGCCACGUGGACCCUACGCGUAUCCCCUCUGAUGAAGAUUUUUUUGUCUUGCGUGUGCGGAAAAGUAUAAUCAUUGCAUAAGGGUGUACUCACACUAGGCCCGGAUGCCUUGUACUGUGCCUGAGCACGAUAGUCCCCACUGGCCUGUGCUCACACUGCUCCUAACAAUCCGAGCCGUAUGUUUACAUCAUACCAUAUAUUGAUUUGUUUGUGGCAGCCCGCUCAACCACUGAUAUAAUAAUACUAAUAAUAAUUAUUAUUAAAUUUAUAAUAACUGACUGUUUUUUUUUUCUCUCUAAUAUCAUUUUCAGAAUGGAAAGCAGAAAAAAAAGGAUCCAGAAAAGGCAGCUGAGACUUACAGAAGGGAUUUACUGCAACAAUCAGAAACAUACAGGAGUCUGAAAUAUGUAAUGGAUAUGCAUGAGAGCCCAGAGGAGAAAGAGCGUGCAGUUGUGGUUUUCUACAAGCAGAAUAACAUCAACUGGGCCAGUCCAUUUUGUGUGUUUUUGAAAGAUGACACCAACAAAAGUUUGCUCUUUGUUGGUGAGGAAGACCACCUGGUGCCUUCCACCUCUACUUUCCUGCUGGAAGGUGAUAUCUUUCAUGUUGCUGGACGGAUUAUUGGGCACUCCUUUUUAAAUGGGGGACCAAGGCUGACUGGAUUAAGCCAAGCCAUUUUGGACUUAAUUUCUGGAAAAGAAGACACAAACCAGCUUGCAACUCAAGACAGCCCAGACAUUGAUGUGAGGGAAGUUGUCACUCUGCUUACCGGCAAGGACCCCUUGAGCCCAGCUGAUAAACACAAUGUUGCCGAGAUGUGUGUGGCUUGGGAUCUGCCCACUGUUGUUAAUGACACCAACAGGAACUGGCUUGCAGAAAAGAUCCUUCACCAUUCUGUAAGUAACAUACUUUCUUAAGGUGCUUUCAGACCAAAAGUAAAGUGAGCUUUGGGGUUGGUGCGUUUACUGUUUUGCCUUUUGCCCCCCUUUUGCCUUCAAACUGCAUCAGUUUUUCUAGGUUCACUUGCACAAGGUUUUUGAAGGCUGACCUACUUUUGUCAACUACCCACUGUUCUUCUGUGGAUUUACGCUCUGUGGGGGCCAUACCAUCACUUCCAGGACCAGUGUUGGGGAAAGUUACUUUUAAAAGUAAUGCCUUACAAUAUUGCGUUACUCCCUAAAAAAGUAACUAAAUAUGCUACUUAGUUACUUUUUAUGGAAAGUAAUGUGUUACAUUACUUUUGCGUUACUUUCACGUUACUUUUUAAAUAUGAGCAGGGCUUGAUUGUUUUUAAUAUAAGAAGUUCUAUUUAUAGCAAAUGUAAAAGCCCUUUCACACCAAAAAGUGUAAUGAAUAAACCUCAGGCUGAAGGAAAAGUAAAUUCA